CUUAUGGAUGGCGAAGUGGUUAACGCACCUGAUUGUGGUUCAGGCAUUCGUGGGUUCGAUUCCCAUCAUCCGCCC
rnacentral:tRNA from 1 species